ACCCAGCUGACGAGUCCCAAAUAGGACGAAACGCACUUUGUCCUGGAU
rnacentral:hammerhead_ribozyme from 1 species